rnacentral:rRNA from 1 species
CUAGAGUACUGUAGAGGGGGGUAGAAUUUCAGGUGUAGCGGUGAAAUGCGUAGAGAUCUGAAGGAAUACCGGUGGCGAAGGCGGCCCCCUGGACAGAUACUGACACUCAGAUGCGAAAGCGUGGGGAGCAAACAGGAUUAGAUACCCUGGUAGUCCACGCCGUAAACGAUGUCUACUUGGAGGUUGUGGCCUUGAGCCGUGGCUUUCGGAGCUAACGCGUUAAGUAGACCGCCUGGGGAGUACGGUCGCAAGAUUAAAACUCAAAUGAAUUGACGGGGGCCCGCACAAGCGGUGGAGCAUGUGGUUUAAUUCGAUGCAACGCGAAGAACCUUACCUACUCUUGACAUCCAGAGAACUUUCCAGAGAUGGAUUGGUGCCUUCGGGAACUCUGAGACAGGUGCUGCAUGGCUGUCGUCAGCUCGUGUUGUGAAAUGUUGGGUUAAGUCCCGCAACGAGCGCAACCCUUAUCCUUGUUUGCCAGCGAGUAAUGUCGGGAACUCCAGGGAGACUGCCGGUGAUAAACCGGAGGAAGGUGGGGACGACGUCAAGUCAUCAUGGCCCUUACGAGUAGGGCUACACACGUGCUACAAUGGCGCAUACAGAGGGCGGCCAACUUGCGAAAGUGAGCGAAUCCCAAAAAGUGCGUCGUAGUCCGGAUUGGAGUCUGCAACUCGACUCCAUGAAGUCGGAAUCGCUAGUAAUCGUGGAUCAGAAUGCCACGGUGAAUACGUUCCCGGGCCUUGUACACACCGCCCGUCACACCAUGGGAGUGGGCUGCAAAAGAAGUAGGUAGUUUAACCUUCGGGGGGACGCUUACCACUUUGUGGUUCAUGACUGGGGUGAAGUCGUAACAAGGUAGCGCUAGGGGAACCUGGCGCUGGAUCACCUCCUUA